GGCAAGGGCCCGGUGACAGAGAAAUAAUAGGAUCAUGGAGGAUGCUGUUUUACCCAGGAACUAACAGGACCUCCAGGAAAACAUGGCCCCAGACAGCGUUCAAGAUCACACCCUUCUGCUUUUUUGUUUUCUUCCUGACAGCAGAGAAGGCUAAUGCAGCAACCGUCACCUAAGACUCAAACAGGAAAAGUGACAAAUCUCAGGAGACUCUCCACCUUAGGACAUUGAGAAGUCUUUGCUUGUUCCCAUUGGGGUUAUUUCAGAGCAGACGCGCCACUCAGCCCUCAGGAAGGGCCCUAACCCCUUCCUGCACAGCCUACCUCGGGCCCCCACCAGGCUCGUUGGCAGUGCCCACCCACACAGUACCCCCAACCCUCUGUCUGUCUGCCUGCCCUUAAGGCUAAUUUAUUGACCCGACCCUCCAUUACCUUCUUCGAUUUCCUAAUUAAUCACAGAUAAAAGGCAAUGGUGCAAAUUACGAUUAUGAAGAACUGGAAGAUGCUUUUGAUCAAAAUGGUUCUGAGAAGGGAGAUAUGAUGAACAUGAGAGUGAAAUCUCAAGUGCAGGAACAGGCCUCAGGGGGUGGAACCCUGACCCUGAGUGU